AACAGUACCCCCCGUCGGAACAGUGCACAGCACGGCGCCUGUCCGCCCUGUCCUCCGCUGCGCUCCCGACCCGAGACCGCCCCGUCGCGUCGGCGUGCUCCCGGUGCUCGAUGCCCGGCCCCUUUCCCGCCGAGAUAAGAGCCACGCCCCUUCUCUCUCCUUUUCCCCCGUUUCUUCUCCCUCCUACUUCUCUCUUCAUGUUCUUCUUCCCUGCCACCCUCUCCGGCGGCAACUCGACCGCGCGAGCACAAGCUUCGCUGUCCCCCGUCAUGCGAGCGAGAUCCAUGGCGGGCCCCCCUACGCUUCCUCCCCAGCUUCGACGCCUCCGCGUCCGCGUCGACCGGCCAAGGUUCAGCUCGACCUCCUCGGUCUCCACCUACUCUCCGCGGCUGCCGCCCGCUCCGCGGGAUCCAGAUCCGGCCGCUCCUGCUCUCCUAGCCCCCGGCCUCCCCCUCCACCUCCUCGUCCUCACUCUGCUCCGCUAUCCACCCCCACGCGCCCACUCCGCCGGUGCAUCUCCUUGGCCAGAUCGCACAGCAUCGGCAGCGCCACGUACAGCGCCAUCCCCUCCUCCACGGCAGUCGCGCCGGGCACGGCGCAGCUCACCAAGUCCGCCUCCAUCAUCAGGCGGGCUCCCGCUGAACAAGUCUGACCUCAACCACCGUUGAUCUGGCUUAGCCUCCAGAAACCCGUGGUGCGCGCGCCGCAAGCUCCAGCAAGCAGAUAUGGUGCGGUGGUGACGACUGCUUCUGUUGCCGUGAGGAGGUCUACACCGUGUUCGUCUGCUUGGUAAGAAUCACCCCUCAAGCACGCCAUGUGCCCCUUCUCCAUUCAUCCAUCUGGUUAUGUAAAUUUGUAGGUUGUAGUUGUGUCUCAUUGUUCAAGUUUGAUAGAAAUCAAAUCCCUUGCUUCUAGAUUUAUGUUUUAUCUGCAUCAGGGAUUUGUACCUGCUAGAAAUCAAAUCCCGGAGUACUUGCAUCACUAAUGCAGACACGCCUCAAGCGCUCUGUUUUCUGUUCCUCAAUGGAAAUUCCAAUAGUCGGCACCACAGGUGUCCCAUCUAAUGCCGUAGAUAAUAAUUGACAUGCCACAAAACACGAAAAUGUAAUAGUAAAACAACAGUGCUAAAGUUUGUGAGAAGGUAAAAAAUUGUAAUUUAUAGUGCUAGCUUCUAACAUUUACACGGUCGCUAGCUUUGUCUUCACGUGUCCUUCACCUAAAGCCUUUGGUGCCUUCAAAAUUUGCCGUGCUAACUAGCUGGUUGCUAAACGUCAGCUCCUCUAAACAACCAAACCAAGCCAACAGCCAACCUUUUCAAGGAAAAAAAGAGCCAGAAUGUAUAGAUAACACCUGUCAUUAUGGAAACUAGCUAAAAUUGUCUAUCUGGUGGUAUCCAAAGGCAAGUGCACUUGAACUGAAGUUUUGUACCAAAAUAUAAUAUAGAUAAUGCCGUUGCAUCUGAAAGUGGAAGAGAGAUUUACAUCUCAAGAUUAGAGCAGCUCACCAUCUUUAAUGUAUAACAUAUUCUAUGUCCAUACUGUUCUGCGACUCAGCUUCAUAAAUUUUAUGUGAUGCAUACUCUUACAAAGUUUUAUACCCACCUAGCUUUUCUGUUUCUAGAAAGUUCUGCUACUUGCAUGAUCAGUUGCAAUUGUUUAAUACAGUUUUAUAUGCCUCGAGCACACAUACAUACACACUUGACCAAAAUUGAACUGAAUCGCUCGGCUGCUGGAUAUCCAUGUCGAUCUACCUGGGUUAAUAGAUUAAAAGUGACAGUAAAUUUAAUUUUAUUUAUUCAACUUGAUCAAUUUUUGUGUGAAUGUAGAACAUAGUUCAUUUUUAAUAGAUCUGGAAAGUUUUGAGAAAUUUUUUUUAGGACUUGUCGAUUGGUUUUCUACUGAAUUUGCAAUGCUAAUUAGAUAUUACAUCCUUGAUAGUUUGAUGAUACAUAUCUGAUCAUGCAAUCAAAUUUAUCCUAAUAACUAAAAUAUCAUAAGCAGACCGUACCUUUGGGUUUAUUUUAUUCUAAAUAACUAAAACAGCUAAUACCCUUGUGCAAUUGUUUUGCAGGACUGCAGUAAAGCAUGCACUUUGUUAAUUAAAUCAUCUUAAAUUCUGGUGUGAUUUUCCCAUCUGGAUGGUAAACUUUGAUUUUCAGCUAAAUGUUUGUUCUUUUUCCAGUGCGAAGUAAUGGAACAGAUUAAUUGAUAUGCUUCUUCUUUCUCUUGAAGAAUCUGAUUAAAGUAAUAAAACUGAACAUGCCCCUCCUUUCUCUGAUGAGCCUUUCCUUUACUUUCUCCAUGCUUAUGUGAAGCUUUCAAUUUUCUGUUAAAACUGUGCCGCAGGUUGCAAGACUUAAAUGCUAGAAGCCAAAAACAAGGGUUCCAUUGGUUACUCAAUUAAAUUUGAAGAUACUCCAUGUUUUCUAAAUUCCAAAAAAAGAUUAGUCUUCGACUGCCCAUCUGAGCAUUGUAUGGGAUUGUUCUUUCUUUCUUGUAUACCAAAAAAAAAACAAAGUGCAGCAGUCUGAACCUUUUCUGAUCAGAGAGCAUUACUCUGAUAUAACAAAAUACAUCAAAUAUUGAUGCAUCAUACCCAUUGGCAAUCAUGCAUGUUUUGAAGCCAGCAAACUCGUGAAGGAUUGUGUGUGGCCACACAAGUUGAGUUGAUCUCAUCCUAUCUGUGUAUGCUGGAUUUACUCGGCUCACAAGAGUUGAUAUGCUAAUUAUCAAAUGUAUAUACCUAACCUGAACAAUAUUGAAUUAAAUAUACAGUGUUUAAUCAAAUAUAGAACCUAUCAUGUUCCAGUAUCACAAUUUCUAAUGUUGUUGUCAUGAUAGGGCCCACAAAGUGUUUAGGGUAAGUCUGUUUGUCAAAUGAUGAUGACAAUAGGAGCCUUUUAAUUACCUUCUGAUAGUAAAGGGUGAAGAAUUUAUGUUGUCUUAAAUAUUAUUUUGAUUCUAUUGC